rnacentral:misc_RNA from 1 species
CUGUACUCGCGUGUACGUCACGUCUUAUCGCUCUGAGGCUUACAGCUAUUGAUUUUAUUAUCGGCAAUGUUAGUGCCGAGUUUCCUCAGUCAAAACCGAAAGAACCGUAAAAACUGAUUUAUCUCGCAUUCGACUUUGAUUGAUUUAAAGAAGCAGACACGGGAUAUGAGAGUAUUAUUAUUAUGAGAAUUUCAGACAGCUUUUAGACUACUCAAAUAAAAUUGAAAUCAAAAAUUACUUUAUUCAAGAAGUCUUCAAAAUUACUUUUGAAUAGUAAGUUCACAAUUUAAAAUUACUCGAAAUACAGAUUGUGCAGAAAGGAAUCGGCAAGUCUAGGAAGAAAAAACUCCGCAGUUAAUCCUGAAAAAAAAAUGAAGGUGUAUGUAUAUGAUUUUACAGCUUAUUAUCAUUCCUCGGUUGUUACCUUUUUUUUUCUUAAGUUACUUGCCUAGUGGGGGUCAUUUAGUUUGCUUAUAAACAGAAAGUCAAAUGUAUGUCACAGUAAAAUGUAAAUUAUUCAUGUAUUUCGAAAAGGUUAUGUCAACAUGAGUUUGAGGUUCCAGUUAUAUUGAACUUUAAAAGUUUUGAGGGUUGUAUUUGCUCGGGGCGUAACGACGUAAAUUCAAACAUAUCGUUAAAAUCGACAUGAUUUUAUGUACUUAUUCGUGGCA